rnacentral:lncRNA from 1 species
AUCAUAACCUAAGCUCUGAUACCAUUCUGUCACAUCCUAUUGAUCUUACAUAAAAUUUUAAUAUCUCUUUAUAAUCUCUGGUGAUCUUAAACCUAAGCUCUGAUAUUAUUCUUUCAUAUCCUAAUCACUUAUAUCAUAGACCUCACAUGAUCAUAACUUAUGCUCUGAUAUCACUCUGUAAUAUUCAAAUCACUUACAUUAUAAUCCUUAGUGAUCAUAACCUGAGCUCUGAUACUAUUCUGUCAUGCUCCGAACCCAACACCUG